rnacentral:rRNA from 1 species
AUCGAACGCUGGCGGCAUGCCUUACACAUGCAAGUCGAACGGCAGCACGGGUGCUUGCCCCUGGUGGCGAGUGGCGAACGGGUGAGUAAUACAUCGGAACAUGUCCUGUAGCGGGGGAUAGCCCGGCGAAAGCCGGAUUAAUACCGCAUACGAUCUACGGAUGAAAGCGGGGGACCUUCGGGCCUCGCGCUAUAGGGUUGGCCGAUGGCUGAUUAGCUAGUUGGUGGGGUAAAGGCCUACCAAGGCGACGAUCAGUAGCUGGUCUGAGAGGACGACCAGCCACACUGGGACUGAGACACGGCCCAGACUCCUACGGGAGGCAGCAGUGGGGAAUCUUGGACAAUGGGCGAAAGCCUGAUCCAGCAAUGCCGCGUGUGUGAAGAAGGCCUUCGGGUUGUAAAGCACUUUUGUCCGGAAAGAAAUCCUUGGCCCUAAUACGGUCGGGGGAUGACGGUACCGGAAGAAUAAGCACCGGCUAACUACGUG